UACGAAGGGUGCAAACGUUGCUCGGAAUUAUUGGGCGUAAAGCGCACGUAGGCGGCAUCGCAAGUCGGAUGUGAAAGCCCACGGCUCAACCGUGGAAGUGCAUCCGAAACUGCAUGGCUCGAGUCUCGGAGAGGAAGGUGGAAUGCUUGGUGUAGAGGUGAAAUUCGUAGAUAUCAAGCAGAACACCUGCGGCGAAGGCGGCCUUCUGGACGAUGACUGACGCUGAGACGCGAAAGCGUGGGGAGCAAACAGG
rnacentral:rRNA from 1 species